rnacentral:lncRNA from 1 species
AGAGGCGGAAGCGGUGUCGCUCUGAGGGGUCGCCAGUCGCCGCAGGCGCUUCAGCCCAGCGGCGGGCCUUGGCCCUUGGCUGCCUACUCCUACCGCCCCAGCCCCGGGCGGCCCUGGGCCUGCUGCGGGCGCGGCGCUGCCCGACCAGAGCUUCCUGUGGAACGUCUUCCAGAGGGUCGAUAAAGACAGGAGUGGAGUGAUAUCAGACACCGAGCUUCAGCAAGCUCUCUCCAACGGAUGAAGCUCCACCCGCCCUUCAGGAUGCAAAGCCCUCCUCUAUAAAGUGCAUGCGGGGCCAGAUGCAGUGGCUCACAUCUGACCUCCCAACACUUUGGGAGGCCGAGGCAGGGGGAUCGCUUGAGCCCAGGAGUUUGAGACCAGCCUGGACAACAUUGAUGAAGCCCCACCCGCCCUUCAGGAUGCCAGCCUUGGCAACAUCGUGAGACCCUGUUUCUACAAAAACUAAACAAGUGUAGUGGUGCACGCCUGUAUUCCCAGCUACUUGGGAGGCUGAGAUGGGAAGAUCACUUGAGCCUGGGAGGUUGAGGCUGCAUUGAGCUGAGAUCAAGCCACGGCACUCCAGCCUGGGAGACAGAGCGAAACCCCAUCUCAAAAAAACAAAGAAAGUGGAUGCGUGCUGCUCCUGCCAUUGGAUCAUCGCAGCAUUUUUCUUUUCUCUGAUAUGCGCCUUUUUCCUCAUCGUGGGGGCUCAUGUUUUCGUAAUUCCCUCUCGCUACUAGAUUGUGAGCUGUGUGAAGGAAGGUUCAUAGUUGAGUUGUAUGUACAGGCACACAAAAUUUGUCCUUGGAUAGACACAUAUCAAUCCACUUCCUUCUCCUCUCUGAAUUUCUUUAUUUAAAAAAAAAAGUAGAGAUGGAGUCUCACUGUCUUGCCCAGGCUGGUGUCAAACUCCUAGGCUCAAGUGAUCCUCCCACCUCUACUAAUAUGAAUUAUUAGGCUAUGCUAAUAUGAAUUUGUAUACUAAUAUGAUUGAAAUUAGUUUGACUUCUAUAAUAAUUGUUCUCCCAGAUUGGGCUUCUGUUUUGAUAGUAGAACUAAAUUAUUAGGCUAUUUCAAGAAAUUAAUAUAUUACUGGUAGAAAAACUGAAGCUACAAAAUGGCCUGGUUUCUCACUUCAGUUAAAUUUGUGCUUCUGAGUGCUUGUAUUCUAGGUGAAACCGCACUGAGAAGGUAUUUGUGGCCUAUACGCUGAUUCAUUGAUUAGACUUCUUUGCACAGGAGAGCUGCUAAAAAUUACUGCGGUGAACAGGUACGAAGAAAAAGACUGUUCUCUGCCCUUCUUUUUGCAAUAAAAUGUUACAAACUAUCUUGAGUUUGAUCCCUUUUCGGGUGUUUGGGUUUUUUUUAACAUUCACAUAUUUCUUGGAAUUAUAAGAAAUUAACUUUGUGCUUCUGAAGUGGGUUUGCCUUAAUAUAACACUGAUGUAUUUGUAAGGGGCAUUUUUAAAGCUGUACUUUAAAAAAUAAUAAUUCUUACAUUCAUUUGAA